rnacentral:rRNA from 1 species
GACGAACGCUGGCGGCGUGCUUAACACAUGCAAGUCGAACGGAAAGGCCCUGCUUUUGUGGGGUGCUCGAGUGGCGAACGGGUGAGUAACACGUGAGUAACCUGCCCUUGACUUUGGGAUAACUUCAGGAAACUGGGGCUAAUACCGGAUAGGAGCUCCUGCUGCAUGGUGGGGGUGGGAAAGUUUCGGCGGUUGGGGAUGGACUCGCGGCUUAUCAGCUUGUUGGUGGGGUAGUGGCUUACCAAGGCUUUGACGGGUAGCCGGCCUGAGGGGGUGACCCGCCCCAUUGGGACUGGGGUACGGCCCAGACUCCUUCGGGCGGAAGGGGUGGGGAAAAUUGCACAAUGGGCGGAAGCCUGAAGCAGCAACGCCGCGUGCGAGAAGACGGCCUUCGGGUAGUAAACCGCUUUCGCCUGUGACGAAGCGUGAGUGACGGUAAUAGGUAAAGAAGCACCGGCUAACUACGU